AGCCUGUGCAGCACCCUUUGUCCUAUGAAUGGCUUAAACAACCUCUGCCAAGUCAUCUUAUAUCAAGGAGUUCUGUUUUGCUCAUCUUCCACGUAUCGAGGCCACCUGAUACGAGACUUCUGGCUUGGGAACG